rnacentral:rRNA from 1 species
UACGUAGGGAGCAAGCGUUGUCCGGAAUCAUUGGGCGUAAAGCGCGCGUAGGUGGCCACAUAAGUCCGUUGUGAAAGUCAAAGGCUCAACCUUUGAAAGCCGAUGGAUACUGUGUGGCUAGAGUCCGGAAGAGGAAAGUGGAAUUCCUGGUGUAGCGGUGAAAUGCGCAGAUAUCAGGAAGAACACCAAUGGCGAAAGCAGCUUUCUGGGACGGUACUGACGCUGAGACGCGAAAGCGUGGGGAGCGAACAGG